rnacentral:rRNA from 1 species
AUCCCCAAUUGGGGAUAAAUCAUUCAAGUUUCUGCCCUAUCAGCUUUCGAUGGUAGUGUAUUGGACUACCAUGGCAGUAACGGGUAACGGAGAAUUAGGGUUCGGUUCCGGAGAGGGAGCCUGAGAAACGGCUACCACAUCUAAGGAAGGCAGCAGGCGCGUAAAUUACCCAAUGCAGAUUCUGCGAGGUAGUGACAAUACAUAACAACCUGGGGUCUCACGACUUACGGGAUUGCAAUGAGAACAAUUUAAAAACCUUAACGAGGAACAAGUGGAGGGCAAGUCUGGUGCCAGCAGCCGCGGUAAUUCCAGCUCCACUAGCGUAUAUUAAAGUUGUUGCAGUUAAAAAGCUCGUAGUUGAACUUCUGAUUGUUGUUAGUGUCGGUAUUUAUAUCGCGCUAGUGGCAGUCAUCCGUCUGCAAACUUUUACAUCCUUAACUGGUUUGUCUAAGGGAGCAGGCAUUUUACUUUGAAAAAAUUAGAGUGUUUAAGGCAGGCGCAAGCCUGAAUACAUUAGCAUGGAAUAAUGGAAUAGGACGCUUGUCCAUUUGAUUGGUUAUUGGACUCGCGUAAUGAUUAAUAGGGACAGUUGGGGGCAUUAGUAUUUAAUUGUCAGAGGUGAAAUUCUUGGAUUUAUUAAAGACUAACUUAUGCGAAAGCAUUUG